rnacentral:piRNA from 1 species
UGUGAAGAACCCUGAAGUGCCUGU